rnacentral:rRNA from 1 species
GACGAACGCUGGCGGCGUGCUUAACACAUGCAAGUCGAACGAUGAAGCCGGAGCUUGCUCUGGUGAAUUAGUGGCGAACGGGUGAGUAACACGUGAGUAACCUGCCCUUGACUCUGGGAUAACUGCUAGAAAUGGUAGCUAAUACCGGAUACGACCCUCGGAGGCAUCUCCAGGGGGUGGAAAGAAUUUCGGUCAGGGAUGGACUCGCGGCCUAUCAGCUAGUUGGUGAGGUAACGGCUCACCAAGGCGACGACGGGUAGCCGGCCUGAGAGGGUGACCGGCCACACUGGGACUGAGACACGGCCCAGACUCCUACGGGAGGCAGCAGUGGGGAAUAUUGCACAAUGGGCGCAAGCCGGAUGCAGCAACGCCGCGUGAGGGAUGACGGCCUUCGGGUUGUAAACCUCCUUUAGUAGGGAAGAAGCGAAAGUGACGGUACCUGCAGAAAAAGCACCGGCUAACUACGUGCCAGCCGCCGCGGUAA